rnacentral:tRNA from 1 species
GCACUGGUGGUUCAGCGGUAGAGUCCUUGCCUUCCACGCAGGAGACCUAGUUCAAUUCUGGCCAAUGCA